GUCCAGUUGGUGGCGGUAAUGCAACAUUAUAUUGGAUGCCAACCGCCGUUAAACACCAAAGAAGAAGGAGUUAAUCUAGAACAACAACAGCUGCCAAGCCUUCCAUGUCUGAACCCAAGUCCCCGGGUUCUUACUGUGGCUUUCCAGGACAGAUAGAGAUAAGCUCACAGUGGGGUCCAGAGAUGGUCUUAGUGAAGCUGGAGGACUGUAGUCAACCACUGGAACUCAAUGUGAUAGUCAAAGAGGAAGAGGAGGAAAGGGAAGUCAAAGAGGAAGAGGAGGAAAGGGAAGUCAAAGAGGAAGAGGAGGAAAGGGAAGUCAAAGAGGAGGAGAUAGGGAUUAAGGAGGAGGAGAUAGGGAUUAAGGAGGAGGAGAUAGGGAUUAAGGAGGAGGAGGAGGAGAUAGGGAUUAAAGAGGAGGAGGAGCGCGCAUUCAAAGAGGAGGAGGAGGAGCGCGCAUUCAAAGAGGAGGAGGUGGAGGAGGCGGAGGAGAGAGCAUUCACAGCGGAGCAGAGAGCAGUCACCGAGGAGGCGGAGGAGAGAGCAGUCACAGAAGUGGAGAACAGGGAAGAGGAGGAAGAAGUAGAUGGUAACACUGACCCAGGGGUGGCCGGUAGCCUAACGGUUAGAGAGGUGAGCCAGCGACCAAGGAUUGCCAGUUUGAAUUCCGGGUCCUGCAGAGAAGUUGGUGCAUUGGCAGCCCCAGGGGAUUCCAAAACUCGGUCGUGAAGUGAGCUGUGCAACAGGAAGGUUGCUGGUAUCUGAUAUCAAAUCCUAGAUGUCAUCACCCACUGGUGUGCCCUUGAGAGAGAGCUCCAACCCAGGUUCAGACAGUGAGCCCAGUUCCACAGCAUCAGGAAACCAUAAACAACACAGACGGAGGAACUCAAGACAGAAACAUCACCACUGCAUGGACUGCUUCACUAGUUUCUAUGAGCCAGAGGAGUUAAGAAGGCACACUUGUAGGCCCCGCUCCUGUUCAGAUUGCAGAGGCAGCUUUAUUUGCCCAACUCAACUCAAAUCAAAACAGACUCAAAAAAUGCUGCCGACAUACCCGUGUGGUCAAUGUGGGAUGAUAUGUGAAACACCAAGCAAACUAAAGACGCACCAGAGAACUCACACAGGAGAGUAGCCAUACCAAUGCACUGUUUGUGGAAAGGGUUGCAGUCAUUCGGACCAUCUAAAGACGCACCAGAGAACUCACAGGAGAGAAGCCUUACCACUGCUCCCAAUGUGGAAAGAGUUUCAGUCAGUUAACAACUUUUAGAAACCACCACCUAACUCACACAGGACAGAAGUCUUACCGCUGCUCUCAUUGUGGGAAGAGUUUCAGUCAGUUAGCCAACUGAAAUACACACCAGUUAAUUCACACAGGAGAGAAGCCAUACCACUGCUCUCAGUGUGGGAAGGAUUUCAGAUCUCCAAGAGAAUUAAAGUCACACAUGAGAACUCACACAGGAGAGAAGCCAUUCCACUGCUCCCAAUGUGGAAAGAGUUUCAGUCAGUUAUCAAGUCUGAAAAGACACCAACUAACUCACACAGGAGAGAAGCCUUACUUUUGCUCUCAAUGUGGGGAUAGUUUCACCAGUUUAUAUUUCCUAAAGAAACACCACCUAACUCACACCGGAGAGAAGCCUUAUCUCUGCUCUCAUUGUGGGAAGAGUUUCAGUCAGUUAGCCAACCUAAAUACACACCAGUUAAUUCACACAGGAGAGAAACCUUACCACUGCUCUCAAUGUGGGGAUAGUUUCACCAGUUUAUAUUUCCUAAAGAAACACCAGCUAAUUCACAUGGGUGGAAAGCUGUUCCAAUGCUCCCAGUGUGGUAAGAGUUUCAAUCAUUCAUCAACUCUGAAGAAACAUCAGAUAACUCACACAGGGGAGAAACCUUACCACUGUUCUCAGUGUGGAAAGAGUUUCAGUCUGGUAGGAAACCUGAAGAGACACCAGCUAACCCACACCGUAGAGAAGCCUUAACGAUGCUCUCAUUGUGGGAAGUGUGUCAGCCAUUUACACUACCUAAAGUCCAUUUAAUUCACACAGGAGAGAAACCAUACCACUGCUCGGUGUGGGAAGAGUUUGUCAAUCAGCAAAUUUGAAAAAGCAUUUUGGAAUUCACACAGGACAAAAGCUGUGUCAUUAGAUGGUCCCAUGUAGCUCAGUUGGUAGAGCAAGGUGUUUGCAACGCCAGGGUUGUGGGUUCGAUUCCCACGGGGGGGCCAGUACAGAGAAAAAUGUAUGCAUUCACUACUGUAAGUCGCUCUGGAUAAGAGCGUCUGCUAAAUGACUAAAAUGUAAAUGUAAAUUAGAUCUAAAGACACCAGUUUGUUUACAUAGGGGAAAAGCCUUAACUCUGCUAUCAAUGUGGGGAUAGUUUCACCAGUUUAUUUUUUUUUAAAAACACCAGAUAAUUAUGACUAAUAAUAUCUUACCUGGUUAGUUAAAGGGGGUUAAAAAAAUACUUGCAAAGGAGUGUGGCAGCUGCUCCCAGUCAGUGAACAAAUUUGAAGACCCACCAUUUCACUGGCACAGUGUGAGGAAAAGAUUCAGUCCCAUAGGCGACCUAAAGAAACACCAGCUAACUCGCACUGGAGAGAUUCCUUACGAUGUUCUUAAAAUAAAGCUGGUGUGAUAACGCUUUAUUGUGAACAUAUCCCUAUUUGAGGAAUCACCAAAAAGGCAACACUGCAGAGAAAACUCAGUGAAGUUGACAUUGUGGAAUCCAUAGCUAAUAUCUGUCCAUAGAGAAUCCUGAGUAAUUACAGACAUCAUAUAUUCUAGUUGGAUUUCUAUAAUCGCUUAUUUAAAAAAAUUCAAUAAUAGAAUUUAGUCACGAAAAAUGUAUACAACAAAAACUUCUAAAUGGCAGAAAAUAAAUACAACUAUUGUAA